ACAGCCCAGACCACCAGUUAAGGUCCCCAAAUAUAUGUUAAGUGGAAAAGGAUGUGGGGUUGCUUAGACAACCAGGAUGUUGGCUUAGAAGCAGCCACCAUUGAAAGAGUGCGUAAUAGCUCACUGGUCGAGUGACCCCGCGCCGAAAAUGUACCGGGGCUAAACAUAUUACCGAAACUGUGGAUGAACCUCUUUAGAGGUUCGUGGUAGGAGAGCGUUCUAAGGGCGGUGAAGUCAGACCGGAAGGACUGGUGGAGCGCUUAGAAGUGAGAAUGCCGGUAUGAGUAGCGAAAGAAGGGUGAGAAUCCCUUCCACCGAAUAUCUAAGGUUUCCUGAGGAAGGCUCGUCCGCUCAGGGUUAGUCGGGACCUAAGCCGAGGCCGAUAGGCGUAGGCGAUGGACAACAGGUAGAGAUUCCUGUACCAGUGCUAAUUGUUUAACCGAUGGGGUGACACAGAAGGAUAGGGAAUCGCACGAAUGGAAAUGUGCGUCCAAGCAGUGAGUGUGAGAA
rnacentral:rRNA from 1 species